rnacentral:rRNA from 1 species
CCUACGGGAGGCAGCAGUGGGGAAUUUUGCGCAAUGACCGAAAGGUUGACGCAGCAACGCCGCGUGUAUGAUGAGGGCUUUCGGGUCGUAAAGUACUUUCAGUGGGGAAGAACUGCAUAAUCAGUAACUGGGUUAUGAUUGACGAUACCCACAGAAGCAGCCCCGGCUAACUCCGUGCCAGCAGCCGCGGUAAUACGGAGGGGGCAAGCGUUGUUCGGAGUCACUGGGCGUAAAGAGCUCGUAGGCGGCAGUGUAAGUCGGGAGUUAAAGGCAACAGCUCAACUGUUGUAAGGCUUCUGAAACUACAUUGCUAGAGUGCCAGAGAGGUAUGCGGAAUUCCCUGUGUAGCGGUGAAAUGCGUAGAUAUAGGGAGGAACACCGGUUGCGAAGGCGGCAUACUGGCUGGUAACUGACGCUGAGGAGCGAAAGCGUGGGUAGCAAACA